GCCCCCUCUAGCCGUCACUAAACCCAAAUCACCCCUCCAAAAUUUAAACCAAACCAUUUGCCUCGCCAAGUAUCAGAGACAGAACAGCCCCUCACCCGCGCAAUAGUAGAUAGUACCGCAAGGAAACACUGAAAGAAAGCACCACCAACACAAAGCACACCACAGCAGUGACACCCCCCCGUACCUUUUGCAUCAUGGUUUAACAAGCCCAUCGCAGAUAAAGAGUCCCUACACCUGCCCCCCCGAAACCAGGCGAGCUACCUCAAGGCAAUUCUAACGGAAUCAACCCAUCUCUGUAGCAAAAGAGCGGGAAGACCUUCAGGUAGAGGUGAAACGCCAACCGAGCCUGGUGAUAGCUGGUUGCUCACUAAAUGAACACAGUUCAACUCUAAUACAAUAACACACCCCCCUCUGCCCCCCCCCCCCCACUAGAAGAUAGACAACAGAGGUACAGCUCUUUUGUCCUCGGAUACAGCCGACACUGGUGACAACAUUUUCCCCCACGCCCGUAGGCCUUCAAGCAGCCACCAAAAAUAAACCGCAUCAACGCGCAUAAUCUAACAGAUUCCACCAAUUUUACCCCACCCCAAUUAAAACCGAGCCAUCCUAUAAACCCAUUAGACGAGACACUGUUAAAACUAGUAAUAUGAUAUACAUCUCACCGCACCCCCCUACACCAGCACAGACACCCUACCGGUAUUUACCAGACCCAAACUUCAGCCCAUACUCACCCACAAGCCAAUCUAUCCCAUCGCCCUGUCACCCCAACACAGGCGUGCGCCCGUGAUCGAUCGAAAGCUGCAAAAGGAAUUCAGCUAAUCUGUCCCACCUGUUUACCAAAAACAUGGCCUUUAGCCCACCAAGUAUUAAAGGUCCCGCCUGCCCAGUGAAACCUAUUUUUAACGGCCGCGGUAUCCUAACCGUGCAAAGGUAGCGUAAUCAUUUGUCCCCUAAAUAGGGACCUGUAUGAACGGCUAACUGAGGACAUACCUGUCUCUUGCAGCCCUUCAAUGAAACUGCUCUUCCAGUACAAAAGCUGGACUAAAACCACAAGACGAGAAGACCCUGUGGAGCUUUAAACACAGCCUUGCCAUCCACACCCUACAACCCCAAGGGCGCCACCACCACCACGCGCAAGGCUAGUUUUCAGUUGGGGCGACUACGGAAUAAAACAAAACUUCCACGAAACAUCCACUCGCCAAAGGACCACAUACCACUGGCGCAUUCAAUAACGACCCAGCAUUGCUGAACAACGAACCAAGUUACCCCAGGGAUAACAGCGCAAUCUUCCCCCAGAGUCCAUAUCACCAGGAAGGUUUACGACCUCGAUGUUGGAUCAGGACACCCCGGUGGUGCAGCCGCCACCAAAGGUUCGUUUGUUCAACGACUAAUGUCCUACGUGAUCUGAGUUCAGACCGGAGCAAUCCAGGUCGGUUUCUAUCUAUGACAUAUCUUUUUCAGUACGAAAGGACCAAAAAGACAGCGCCUACGCCUCCGGCACGCACUGACCAAAAUCUUGAAAUAAACUCAAAGACCACACCCCACUACCCCGCCCAAGACAAGGGUCUUUU
rnacentral:rRNA from 1 species